rnacentral:rRNA from 1 species
CAGCCGCCGCGGUAAUACGGAGGAUCCAAGCGUUAUCCGGAAUCAUUGGGUUUAAAGGGUCCGUAGGCGGUCUUGUAAGUCAGUGGUGAAAGCCCAUCGCUCAACGGUGGAACGGCCAUUGAUACUGCAGGACUUGAAUUAUUGGGAAGUAACUAGAAUAUGUAGUGUAGCGGUGAAAUGCUUAGAGAUUACAUGGAAUACCAAUUGCGAAGGCAGGUUACUACCAAUUGAUUGACGCUGAUGGACGAAAGCGUGGGUAGCGAACAGGAUUAGAUACCCGGGUAGUCCCUGUCUCUUAUAU